GAUGAACAUUUUAUAGUUUACUGUAAUUCUGUAUUUAUAAAAUAUUGAUAUGUUUUGACAGCAGCUUUAAUUUCUGAUGGUAUAUUAUUGGAGCUUUUAUGAAUGCAGUUUUGAACUACAUGGGCAGCAAAAUCAAUUGCUGAAGCACAAAGGCAUGAUCAAAGCUCAUGGCAGCCUCAAGUUCCUGGGUUCAAAUGAUCCUCUCACCUCAGCCUUGCAAGUAGAGCACUAUCUUCUCAGAGGAUUUGAUGCAUGAACACUGUAGAUGAUUGAAUUGAGCUUCACU
rnacentral:lncRNA from 10 species